UACGUAGGGGGCGAGCGUUGUCCGGAUUUAUUGGGCGUAAAGAGCUCGUAGGCGGUUUGGCAAGUCGGGUGUGAAAACUCCGGGCUCAACUCGGAGACGCCACUCGAUACUGCUAUGACUCGAGUCCGGUAGGGGAGUGCGGAAUUCCCGGUGUAGAGGUGAAAUUCGUAGAUAUGUGGAGGAACACCAGUGGCGAAGGCGACUCUUUGGUCUGUAACUGACGCUGAGGCGCGAAAGCGUGGGGAGCAAACAGG
rnacentral:rRNA from 1 species